AGAACGAACGCUGGCGGCAGGCCUAACACAUGCAAGUCGAGCGAGAUUUUCGGAUCUAGCGGCGGACGGGUGAGUAACGCGUGGGAAUAUGCCCUUUGGUACGGAAUAGCCUCGGGAAACUGAGAGUAAUACCGUAUGCGCCCAUGGACCGUGGAGGUUUAUGGGGAAAGAUUUAUCGCCGAAGGAUUAGCCCGCGUUGGAUUAGGUAGUUGGUGGGGUAAUGGCCUACCAAGCCGACGAUCCAUAGCUGGUUUGAGAGGAUGAUCAGCCACACUGGGACUGAGACACGGCCCAGACUCCUACGGGAGCAGCAGUGGGGAAUCUUAGACAAGUGGGGGCAACCCUGAUCUAGCCAUGCCGCGUGAGUGAGUGAAGGUCCGUUAGGGUUAGUAAAGUCUUCUUUCAGUCGUGGGAAGAUAAUGACGGUAACAGCGAGAACGAACGCCCGGCUAACCGUCCGUGUCCACGCACGCCGAC
rnacentral:rRNA from 1 species